GAUGAACGCUAGCGGGAGGCCUAACACAUGCAAGCCGAGCGGUAUGGGUAGCUUGCUACCCAGAGAGCGGCGUACGGGGGCGUAACACGUGUGCAACCUGCCCCUAUCCGGGGGAUAGCCCUCCGAAAGGAGGAUUAAUACCCCAUAAUAUACCUGGUGGCAUCACUAGAUAUCGAAAACCCCGGGGGAUAGGGAUGGUCACGCGCAAGAUUAGAUAGUUGGCGGGGUAACGGCCCACCAAGCCGAUGAUCUUUAGGGGUCCUGAGGGGGAGAGCCCCCACACUGGUACUGAGACACGGACCAGACUCCUACGGGACGCAGCAGUGAGGAAUAUUGGACACUGGGUGGAAGCCUGAUCCAGCCGUCCCGCGUGAGGGACGCCGGCCCUAUGGGUUGUAAACCUCUUUUGUACGAAGAUAGACCUAUCUACGUGUAGAUAGCUGAAGGUACCGUACGAAUAAGCACCGGCUAACUCCGUG
rnacentral:rRNA from 1 species